rnacentral:rRNA from 1 species
UCAUCUCUGGCGGCCGCCUACACAUGCAAGUCGAACGAAGUAGCAAUACUUAGUGGCAGACGGGUGAGUAACAUGUAGGUAUUUACCCUUUGGCCUGGAAUAACACGAGGAAACUUGUGCUAAUACCGGAUAAGUCUUUACGGAGAAAGCUUUAUGCACCAUUGGAUGAGCCUGCACUUGAUUAGUUUGUUGGUAGGGUAAUGGCCUACCAAGACUUUGGUCAAUAGCUGAUUUGAGAGGAUGAUCAGCCACAUUGGGACUGAGACACGGCCCAAACUCCUACGGGAGGCAGCAGUGGGGAAUCUUGCACAAUGGAGGGAACUCUGAUGCAGCGAUGCCGCGUGAGUGAAGAAGGCCUUUGGGUUGUAAAGCUCUUUCGUCGGGGAAGAAAAUGACUGUACCCGAAUAAGAAGGUCCGGCUAACUUCGUGCCAGCAGCCGCGGUAAUACGAAGGGACCUAGCGUAGUUCGGAAUUACUGGGCUUAAAGAGUUCGUAGGUUGUUAAAAUAGUUGGUGGUGAAAUCCCAGAGCUUAACUCUGGAACUGCCAUCAAAACUUUUUAGCUAGAGUAUGAUAGAGGAAAGCAGAAUUUCUAGUGUAGAGGUGAAAUUCGUAGAUAUUAGAAAGAAUACCAAUUGCGAAGGCAGCUUUCUGGAUCAUUACUGACACUGAGGAACGAAAGCAUGGGUAGCGAAGAGGAUUAGAUUCCCUCGUAGUCCAUGCCGUAAACGAUGUGUGUUAGACGUUGGAAAUUUAUUUUCAGUGUCGCAGCGAAAGCGAUAAACACACCGCCUGGGGAGUACGACCGCAAGGUUAAAACUCAAAUGAAUUGACGGAAGGG